GGCCUCGUAGCUCAGCUGGUAGAGCGUAGGCGGCGUUCAUGCGUGGGUUCGAAUCCCACCGAGGAUA
rfam:Echinostoma caproni strain Egypt genome assembly, scaffold: ECPE_scaffold0004452